UAGAGGAAGUAAAAGUCGUAACAUAGGUCUUCCGUAGGUGAACCUGCGGAAGGAUCAUUACAGAGUUCAUGCCCUCACGGGUAGACCUCCCACCCUUUGUGUAUCUAUACCAUGUUGCUUUGGCAGGCUGCUGGACCCCUCGGGGGACAGCCUCAGCGCCCUCGGGCCUGAGAGUCGCCUGCCGGAGGAAAAACAAACUCUGAACUGUUAGUGUCGUCUGAGUACUAUAUUUUAAUAGUUAAAACUUUCAACAACGGAUCUCUUGGUUCUGGCAUCGAUGAAGAACGCAGCGAAAUGCGAUAAGUAAUGUGAAUUGCAGAAUUCAGUGAAUCAUCGAAUCUUUGAACGCACAUUGCGCCCCUUGGUAUUCCGGGGGGCAUGCCUGUUCGAGCGUCAUUUCAACCCUCAAGCUCAGCUUGGUAUUGGGCCUCCGCCGGUCACACGGCGGGCCUUAAAGUCAGUGGCGGCGCCGUUGGGUCCUGAACGUAGUAACAUACAUCUCGUUACAGGGUCCCCGCGUGCUUCUGCCAUUAAACCCCCAAUUUUCUAUGGUUGACCUCGGAUCAGGUAGGGAUACCCGCUGAACUUAA
rnacentral:rRNA from 1 species